AAAAAAAAACUCCAUCAAAGGAGAAAAAUCGCUCAUUCUGUCGUAUCAGGGGUUUUUUGAUUACAAGAGGUGAAACUUAAGUUAACUUCAGCAAACGUUAAUUUAUCGGAAGGAAAUGUGAGAGACGGUGUCUGGGUUCUCCGGAGACACAGAGACUGAGGCUGAGAGAGAUUUAUUUUAAGCAGUUGCCUCGGUGGCUGUGGGGGUUGGCAAGUUCAACAUUUGCAGGGCGGGCUGGCAGCCUGGAGACUUAGGCAGGACUCCUAUAUGGCAGUCUUGGGAAGGAUGCCUUCAAUAUAUCUGGUUCUUCUCACAUUUUCAGUUCUGGAGGCCAGAAGUUCAAGGUCAGGGUGUCAGCAGUCCUGGUUCCUUCCGAGGGCUGUGAGGAGGCGGUCACCUCUCUGCUGAGGUCCGAGCCUACUGAUUUCAUGGCCUGAUUCUCAGGUUUCACAGAGGUGGACUGUGAGUCUCAGAGGCAUUCGAGAUGCCUGUGGUUUGAGCUGGCCAGAGGCCUGGCUGGGAGCCAGGAGGCCCAGGUGUCCUGGAUGUCCUCCGGUCAAGCCCUGGGCCCGGGCCAGCCCUCUCUUCCAGGAAACACUUGGCCAGGACCCGGGAAGAACCCGCCGGCAUCCCUUCCGGGUACGUGGGCCAUCCACCUGCGGGCCCAGGCCAGGCCUCCUGUGAGGCCAGCCCCCUGUGCCGCCCAGACUCCCUUCCUGUCUUUGACGGGGAAAUGCAGAGCUUUUCUGCACCCAGCCCACCACCACACAGACUUCGCCGGGGACAAGAGAGGACUGUGCAGCACAGAGGUGUCUCGGGACCUCAGCGUCCCCAUCAGAUGCUGGUAGAAGACUGUGACCACCUCCGACGGGUGUCGUGAGGAUUAAAGACGUGGGCACAGGAGAGGCACGUGGCACAGCGUUGGACACGUGGGUAACUAAGAGCCAGCUUUUUCGACCUGUUUGCAGCGCGACCUGAUGUGUCCUUGGCAACAGUGGUUAACAGGAAUACGGUCUCCCCCGGGGCCCGGCGUGUCCUUUCCUGCCAGAACUGCCAUCCCAUGCGAAGGGCAAAGCAGCAAGGGCCCCCAGCCCCGGCGUGCGGGCUGUCUUCCGCUAAGAUCUGCUUAUUUUUAACCCAGAGGAAAUCUGCCCAAGAAACAGGAUUUCCGUGCUCGCCUGACUGAUUUUUCUUUUCAUGGUCUAUAAGGACGUAAUGGGGAGAAUUUCGCCAUUGGAAGAAAUCGCUUGUUUUUAACAGCAGUAUUAGACGGAGAGCCUAAAACUGGGCUGUUCGCGGACCCAGGAGGAAAACCCCACUCCACUUCCUUAUACGGAUGAGGAAAUGAAAGCUCAGCAGGGUCGCUGAUUUGCGCAAAGUCCACACCAUUUCCUGGCGGUGUAGGACUCGAGCUGGCUGCCUUUUAGGGGAUUGGCCUUUCCGCAGAUCUGGCUCGCGGACGGCAGCGCCUGGCGGGAACCGUCGUCCUGGUGGCUGGGCGCAGGCCUGUUCACAGACUUUAUUAGCCGCGGAGAUGCAUUCUGGGGCUGCCUGAGAUACCUUCUCCAUUCUCCUGGCUCCCUUGUCUGCCAGCCGUCAGCCAGAUGCUGGAAAUCUGACGUCUGCAGGGAACCGAGUGAAAUAGGCUGGGUGGGGCUGGCGUCCCGCACCUGCCUGUCCCUGCGUGAGGUCUGAGCCUGGAGGCCACGAAGUCUGUCCUCUCCCAGCUCAGUCAGCGCCUGGGGUCUGUCCCGGUCCCGAGGCCCCUUCUGGACUUUCGCAGGUGCCUUCGACAGCCCCUGCGGUUGGGCUCUGCCCUCGUUGUGGGGGCGAGAUUUUACCUCUCCCCUCUUAGGUCUUCAGCCGGAUCCGGAAAUGAAAUUGAUCUUGAAGGAGGUGCACCUGGGCAGCUCAGUCGGUUGGUUCAGCAUCCGACUUCGGCUCAGGUCAUGAUCUCACGGUGUGUGAGUUCAAGUCCCGCAUCGGGCUGUCU